rnacentral:rRNA from 1 species
CCUACGGGAGGCAGCAGUGGGGGAUAUUGCACAAUGGGGGAAACCCUGAUGCAGCGACGCCGCGUGGGUGAAGAAGCGCCUCGGCGCGUAAAGCCCUGUCAGCAGGGAAGAAAAGGACGGUACCUGAAGAAGAAGCCCCGGCGAACUACGUGCGAGCAGGCGCGGGAAUACGUAGGGGGCAAGCGUUAGCCGGAUUUGCUGGGGGAAGAGGGGGCGCAGAAGGCGUUGCAAGCCAGGAGUGAAAGCCGGGGGACCAACCCCGGGACUGCUCUUGGAACUGAGUGGCUAGAGUGCAGGAGGGGCAGGCGGAAUUCCUGGUGUAGCGGUGAAAUGCGUAGAUAUCAGGAGGAACACCGGUGGCGAAGGCGGCCUGCUGGACUGCAACUGACGUUGAGGCCCGAAAGCGUGGGGAGCAAACAGGAUUAGAUACCCUAGUAGUC